GACCGCUAGGGUAACGUUUCAUCUGCAGUUGAGUAAGAAUUGCUUACAGUAGUAUCUGUGCCAUCUCUUCAUUAAUUUACUAAAUGAAGAAACAUUGGAGGCUUUGUAGUUUGGAAAAGAAGUAGAAGGUUGAGAAGGAACAGGAUGCAAUGGCAUUAGACAGGUGUGUGUGCAUACAUCAGAAUCUCCCUUGGGGAAGACUUUGGCUCUCCUGGUCAUCCACUGAAAUUGCUCAACACAGAGUCUGAUGCAGAUUAAAAAGCAAGAUCUCAAAACUUCCAUCAUGUGGAUGCAGGUACACCAGGUAAUCCUAGCCAUGUGAAUUCAUCACUACCUCUUAUGCUGUUGGAUGGGGCUUGCUGUCAUCAGGAAGAAAAUUACGAAAACUGCUCAUUGCUUCCUCUGAGAUGACAGCUAUUGAAAUGGGAACCUCCUCUGCUCUGCUUCUGCCCAGAAAAAGCAGAUUGUUUCAACUCUUAUGGGACAUAGGCAUCUCUCCAGCAAGAGGCAAAUGGGACAGAUUGCUUCAGUCUUUUUAAAUCAAGGAAAUACCAAAGGAGCUGCAUGUAUGUUUCUCUGAAGAUGCCAGCCACAGAUGCAGAUGAAACGCCAGAAAUAAACUCUUCUAGAACAUGGCCACUUAGCCCCAAAACACCCACAAAAAAACUAUGGAUGCUGGCCAUGAAAGCUGUCAACUUCACAUCCCAGUUUCUCUUUCCUCAUCCCAUGUUUUCCCUUUGUCCUCAGCCAAGUUCAUCUGGUGCAAACUGAAUUCAAAAAUAGUUUGCAAUGAGUUAAUUCAGAUGUGGUAGAGGAAAAGUGUUGCAUUGUACUGUCUGUUUUUUGUAACGCACCUUGAAUCCCAGCCUGGGAGAAAAUGGGGUAUAAAUAAAGUGAUACAUGGAUAGAUA